GAUCCUGGCUCAGGACGAACGCUGGCGGCGCGCCUAACACAUGCAAGUCGAACGAGCGAGAGAGAGCUUGCUCUCUCAAGCGAGUGGCGAACGGGUGAGUAACGCGUGAGGAACCUGCCUCAAAGAGGGGGACAACAGUUGGAAACGACUGCUAAUACCGCAUAAGCCCACGACCCGGCAUCGGGUUGAGGGAAAAGGAGCAAUCCGCUUUGAGAUGGCCUCGCGUCCGAUUAGCUAG
rnacentral:rRNA from 1 species